rnacentral:tRNA from 1 species
GCCUAAAGUCUUUAACA